rnacentral:sRNA from 1 species
AGCCUAACCCCGUAGCAAUGCGGGCAUGGCGAAAAAAGUCCAGUUAGACAUAAAGAACCCAUCAUGGGGUUGUCUAACUGGCCGUAUCGGGAAACCGGUACGAGGGGCUUCGGUCCCU